rnacentral:lncRNA from 1 species
AAACAGGACGGUACUAAUGUAAUAUCAUAGUAGCAACAAUUAACGUACGCAUUUCAAGAACCCAUAGCACAUACUUAAAUCCAUGCAUUGCAGGCUUGGUAGAGUUAAUCGCAAAAAAAAGAACCGACCAACAACGCGAGGUUCAAAACAGUGUAACCAGAUAAGCUAGCUCCAUGGAGUACUGUCGAUGCGAGGGAAUUAACGAGAGAAAAAACAGGCGCUUAGUCGACCUCCUCCAUCUUGCUCUCGCCGGCGUCGUCCUCGAGAGGAGGCAUGUCGGUGUCGGCCUCCGCCGUCUCGUCUUCAUCGAUGCUCAGGCCGAGCUUGAGCAUGCGGUGGAUCCUGCUGCCGAAGGUGUUGGGGUCGUCGAGGCUGAAGCCGGAGGUGAGGAGGGCCGUCUCGAAGAGGAGCAUGACGAGGUCCUUGACCGACUUAUCGUUCUUGUCGGCGUCGGCGCGCUUGCGUAGCUCCUCCAUGAUGGCGUUCUCCGGGUUGAUCUCCAUCGUCUUCUUGCUAGACAUGUACCCUGCCAUGCUCGAGUCCCUCAGCGCCUGGGCCUUCAUGAUCCUCUCCAUGUUGGCCGUCCAGCCGUACUCGCCGGUGACGAGGCAGCACGGAGAGUCCACCACACGGUCGGAGACCACCACCUUCUCGACCUUAUCGCCGAGCACCUCCUUAAUGACCUUGCAGAGCCCCUCGAACUUCUCCUUGAGCUCCUCCUUCCUCUUCUUCUCGUCUUCACUCUCAUCAAGCUUCAGUCCCUCCUUGGUGGCAGAGACGAGCUUCUUGCCCUCAAACUCCUUCAGCUGGCCGACGGCAUACUCAUCAAUAGCAUCAACCAUGUACAGGACCUCGUAUCCCUUCUUCUUCAGCUUCUCCAGGAAGGGGGAGUUCUCCACGGCCUUCUUGCUCUCACCGGUGAUGUAGUAAAUGUCACUCUGUCCCUCCUUCAUCCUGGUCACGUAGUCCUUGAGGCUGGUCAACUCAUCACCGCUCUUAGUGGAGUGGUACCUCAGGAGCUCAGCAAUCUUGUUUCUGUUGGUGGAGUCCUCGUGGAUACCAAGCUUGAGGUUCUUGGAGAACGCUUCAUAAAACUUGUUGUAGUCCUCCUUGUUCUCAGCAAUCUCGAAGAAGAGCUCAACGCACUUCUUGACAAGGUUCUUACGGAUGACCUUGAGAAUCUUGUUCUGCUGAAGCAUCUCACGGGAGAUGUUGAGCGGAAGGUCCUCGGAGUCAACAAUGCCCUUCACAAAGCUCAGCCACUCAGGGAUCAGCUCCUCACAAUUGUCCAUGAUGAAGACACGGCGUACGUAGAGCUUGAUGUUGUUGAGCUUCUUCCUUGUAUCGAAGAGGUCAAACGGUGCCCUCUUAGGAACAAAGAGAAUAGCUUUGAACUCCAGCUGACCCUCCACAGAGAAGUGCUUCACAGCAAGGUGCUCUUCCCAGUCGUUUGUCAGGGACUUGUAGAAAGCAGCAUACUCCUCCUUGGUGAUCUCCUCAGGCUUCCUCAUCCAGAUAGGCUUCUGCUUGUUGACCAAGGACCACUCAUGAGAAACCUCCUUGAUCUUCUUCUUUUUCUUCUCCUUUUCUUCCUUCUCUUCGUCAACAUCCUCAACCUUGCCCUCCUCAGCAUCCUUCUUCUCUUCCUCAUCUUCAUCAUCAGAAAUUUCCUUUUCAGUGGUCUUCUCAGUCCACAGAGAGAUAGGGUAGCUGAUGAACUCAGAGUGCUUCUUGAUCAGGUCCUUGAGGCGGCGCUCUUCAAGGUACUCCAGCUGCACGAAAUAUUCAAGUAAUUGUCAAUAACAAAAUGAUAACAUUUGGGCCAGGACACUAUGCACACUUCAUAGUUCAAUUAAAGCUCUACCUAAAUAAUUCAGGUGAUUCCACAAAAGUUCACAGCACAGGUAUAGUACUUGCUACUAAUUCUAAUUCAUAAACAUGCACGCAAUUGAACUCAGAUGCAAACCAUCAUUCAAUCCACUAGAAGAGUACAACACAGAUCAUUCAGUCUACAAGGAGUUCAACAAUAAGCCAGUAAGCCACUUAAUAGAACGAGUGCAUCACAUGAGUUUGGUUCUAAUUAUUUUUAACAUGCAUAAUGCAGAACAGCAAUGAAUUUGUUUUCACAUCAAUAAUUCAUAAUAGAAGUUAAGGCAUCUCAAUAGGUUAUCACAAUGUUAGCAGUGUAUAAAAUCCAAAGUGAACACAUAUACAUGAAUAAAAAUGUUCAUUCCAAUUUACUAAUUCUGAUCAAUCAAUUCAAUAAUGCUCCUGUAAGGACAAUUUAAAGUCAUAAACAGACAAGUUAAGCAUCUAGGUCAAGCAAACCUAUGGUGAGACUUGUGACACGCCAUCAUGUUCUACUUCACAAAUGACUAAGAAACAAGUAUCAACAAUAAUACAUAUAAGCAGAUAUUACUAGGUGAUAUAUCAAUGACUAGGCACACUUAAGAACUAUGAAUGCAUCCAACAAGGCAAGCAGCACCAAUUAAAAAGAAUUUGAUGAAUUCCUGUCAGUACCUGGUCAUCCUUGAGAUAGAGGGUGAUCUUAGUACCCCUUCCAAGCUGCUCCCCAGAUGUGUCACGUGUGACAGUGAAUGACCCACCAGCCUGAGACUCCCACACCUACUUCCAUGUCCCCUGCACACUACGAGAAGAUGUGGACACAUCAGGAUCCAGCCAAGAACAAGCUUAUCAUGGCCACACAUUGCUGCAUUUCCAAGUCAGAGUUGUAGUGAAAGUGAAAAGGACAACUGAAACGGCUCAUUUGUUCCAGGUUCAGAAAAACGUAUGUUCUCAAAAAAAAAAAAAAACUUCAUGUACAGUAUUCCUCAUACCACUUAUUUUGAAUUAUAUGUUAAGUUUACUUCUUGAAAUAUUUAACAUAUCCCUAUAAUCAAGUAGAUAAGCCGUCGCAAUAAUCAAUAAUCUAAACAAAAAUGGGGCUAAAUUUUGGUGCUGAUUGGCCAUCUCCAAGGAGGAGUUCAUCACAGGCCACCAGACGCACCGAACUCACCUGUCCGUAGUUAAUGAGACGACGAACUUGCCGGCCAGUCGCCACCGCCGAGAUCGCUGGCCGUUCGCAUCGCUUGCCUGAAUUUUAGCUGAUGGUGACAAGAAUUAAAUCAACCACUCCCCUUGCUCACAAUCACAUCGAGCAGGCUUGAACUGCAAACCAAGUGCUUUUGAUUCUGCUUUACUGGUCAGCCGUGUCCAUGAGAAGAGAACAAUUUUUACAGACUUACAACUCUGAAUCAUGUUUCUUAAAGAACUUAAGUGUAUAUUUGUUUCCCAGAGACUUUUUUAGUCCCUGUCAUAUCAAAUAUUUGGACACUAAUUAUAAGUAUUAAAUAUAAGCUAUUAAUAAAACCCACACCGUACUCUAGACUAUUUCAUGAGACGAAUCUAUUGAGCCUAAUUAGUCCAUGAUUAGCGAAAGUAAUGCUACAGUAAAUAUUUGUUAAUCGUGACUUAAUUAGGCUUAAAAAAUUGUCUAAUGAAAUAGUCUUUAUUUAUGUAAUUAGUUUUGUUAUCGGUUUAUAUUCAAUACUCCUAAUUAACGUCUAAGUAUCCGAUGUGACAAGGGAAAAAAAGUCACGGGAUCCAAACAGCCCAUAAGAAUGUUUUCUGCAUACCACGUAUUGUAUUGAGUAUUAACACAUUGCGUCUGUCUAUAAACCUAAAGCCAUGCCUAGAACUUAACGAUAGAAUACAAUGUUUUGAAUAAAUUUUUAACUAAUAUAGCAUUUUUCUACGCAAUUUUUUGGCCAGACUUAAAACUAAGUCCAAAUCGUCUCAUGCCUGGUACCGCUCCUGGCUACAAAGAAAAUUGGGCCAGAAGGAUAUAGGGGACGAGCCGGCCCAUUCCGCCCCCUUUGCCGGCCGAGUGUCCUGGACAUCCAUGAUAUCAAGGUAUGCUCAGGCUGUAAAGCUAGCUGUUCCACGCAAUGCAAACCCAGAGAACGAGGUGACCAUGGUCAGCAUGCGCACGCUUAAGAGCACUGGAAGAAGGAAGAUGGUGUGCUCAACAAUGAGUGCAAUCUUGGUGCUGCGCUUAUUGACAUGUAUGUAUGCCAAGCGUUAUAUGCCUAUCAAAAAUUUUCCGCUCCCCUUGGACCAGAAAAAAAUGUUUCGGCACGGAAUGAAGAGAAUGGGCGAAAAACAAAUGAAGAGAAUGGGUGAAAAGCCGAAUGACUAACGUUUUGUUGGUGGGCGGAUGGAUGAAGGUCGACGGUGCUUCCAGAGCAUGAUAUCUACCUGCGGAGUGUCGCCGGAUGUGAGGCACUAUUGUUGCAUGGUUGACAUGUUAGACCGAGCAGGAUUUUUUGAAGAGGCAGAGGAGCUGAUCGGGAGCAUGCCAAUGGCUCUUUGAAUAUCCGAUAUUGGAUUACAGUCGAGCAAAUAUAGAAGUGGUGACUACUUCUUAGUGCUUAUGAGCUAUCGGGAAUGAGAUUAGAUCAUCACGGUAGUAAAAUAGUGCUAGUACUUUGGCUGAUCACACGCAGGUUUACUAUAUUAACACUAAUAGAAAGUACUUUCAAAAUAUCUUUUAAUAGAUAUAGACUGCAAAGAAACCAAGAGGUUAAAAAAUCAUUGGUUAGAAUCUUAAAGCUAGAGAGCAUUCUCAAUUUGAAUGAACUACAUAAAUCCUUAAGGUCCAAACAAAUACAGAGUAUGCAUAUAUGUAGCCUGUUCACUGGACGAAAACAGGACGGUACUAAUGUAAUAUCAUAGGAGCAACAAUUAACGUACGCAGUUCAAGAACCCAUUGCACAUACUUGGAUCCAUGCAUUACAGGCUAGGUAAAGUUAAUCGCACAAAAAUAAACCGACCAACAAGGCGAGGUUCAAAACACUCUGACCAGAUAAGCUAUCUCCAUGGAACUUUCGCUGCGAGGGAAUUGACGAGAAAGAAAAAACGGGCGCUUAGUCGACCUCCUCCAUCUUGCUCUCGCCGGCGUCGUCCUCGAGAGGAGGCAUGUCGGUGUCGGCCUCCGCCGUCUCGUCUUCAUCGAUGCUCAGGCCGAGCUUGAGCAUGCGGUGGAUCCUGCUGCCGAAGGUGUUGGGGUCGUCGAGGCUGAAGCCGGAGGUGAGGAGGGCCGUCUCGAAGAGGAGCAUGACGAGGUCCUUGACCGACUUAUCGUUCUUGUCGGCGUCGGCGCGCUUGCGUAGCUCCUCCAUGAUGGCGUUCUCCGGGUUGAUCUCCAUCGUCUUCUUGCUAGACAUGUACCCUGCCAUGCUCGAGUCCCUCAGCGCCUGGGCCUUCAUGAUCCUCUCCAUGUUGGCCGUCCAGCCGUACUCGCCGGUGACGAGGCAGCACGGAGAGUCCACCACACGGUCGGAGACCACCACCUUCUCGACCUUAUCGCCGAGCACCUCCUUAAUGACCUUGCAGAGCCCCUCGAACUUCUCCUUGAGCUCCUCCUUCCUCUUCUUCUCGUCUUCGCUCUCAUCAAGCUUCAGGCCCUCCUUGGUGGCGGAGACGAGCUUCUUGCCCUCAAACUCCUUCAGCUGGCCGACGGCAUACUCAUCAAUAGCAUCAACCAUGUACAGGACCUCGUAUCCCUUCUUCUUCAGCUUCUCCAGGAAGGGGGAGUUCUCCACGGCCUUCUUGCUCUCACCGGUGAUGUAGUAAAUGUCACUCUGUCCCUCCUUCAUCCUGGUCACGUAGUCCUUGAGGCUGGUCAACUCAUCACCGCUCUUAGUGGAGUGGUACCUCAGGAGCUCAGCAAUCUUGUUUCUGUUGGUGGAGUCCUCGUGGAUACCAAGCUUGAGGUUCUUGGAGAACGCUUCAUAAAACUUGUUGUAGUCCUCCUUGUUCUCAGCAAUCUCAAAGAAGAGCUCAACGCACUUCUUCACAAGGUUCUUACGAAUGACCUUGAGAAUCUUGUUCUGCUGAAGCAUCUCACGGGAGAUGUUGAGCGGAAGGUCCUCGGAGUCAACAAUGCCCUUCACAAAGCUCAGCCACUCAGGGAUCAGCUCCUCACAAUUGUCCAUGAUGAAGACACGGCGUACGUAGAGCUUGAUGUUGUUGAGCUUCUUCCUUGUAUCGAAGAGGUCAAAUGGUGCCCUCUUGGGAACAAAGAGAAUAGCUUUGAACUCCAGCUGACCCUCCACAGAGAAGUGCUUCACAGCAAGGUGCUCUUCCCAGUCGUUUGUCAGGGACUUGUAGAAAGCAGCAUACUCCUCCUUGGUGAUCUCCUCAGGCUUCCUCAUCCAGAUAGGCUUCUGCUUGUUCACCAAGGUCCACUCAUGAGAAACCUCCUUGAUCUUCUUCUUUUUCUUCUCCUUUUCUUCCUUCUCUUCGUCAACAUCCUCAACCUUGCCCUCCUCAGCAUCCUUCUUCUCUUCCUCAUCUUCAUCAUCAGAAAUUUCCUUUUCAGUGGUCUUCUCAGUCCACAGAGAGAUAGGGUAGCUGAUGAACUCAGAGUGCUUCUUGAUCAGGUCCUUGAGGCGGCGCUCUUCAAGGUACUCCAACUGCACGAAACAUUUGAGCAAAUGUCAAUAACAAAAUGAUCACAUUUGGGCCAGGACAUCAUGCACAUUUCAUAGUUCAAUUAAAGCUCGACUGAAAAAGUUCAGGUGAUCCUACAAGUUCACAGCACUAGUAUAGUACUUGUUACUAAUUCUAGUUCACAAACAUGCGCACAAUUGAACUCAGAUGCAAACCAUCAUUCAAUCCACUAGAAGAGUACAACACAGAUCAUUCAGUCUACAAGGAGUUCAACAAUAAGCCAGUAAGCCACUUAAUAGAACGAGUGCAUCACAUGAGUUUGGUUCUAAUUAUUUUUAACAUGCAUAAUGCAGAACAGCAAUGAAUUUGUUUUCACAUCAAUAAUUCAUAAUAGAAGUUAAGGCAUCUCAAUAGGUUAUCACAAUGUUAGCAGUGUAUAAAAUCCAAAGUGAACACAUAUACAUGAAUAAAAAUGUUCAUUCCAAUUUACUAAUUCUGAUCAAUCAAUUCAAUAAUGCUCCUGUAAGGACAAUUUAAAGUCAUAAACAGACAAGUUAAGCAUCUAGGUCAAGCAAACCUAUGGUGAGACUUGUGACACGCCAUCAUGUUCUACUUCACAAAUGACUAAGAAACAAGUAUCAACAAUAAUACAUAUAAGCAGAUAUUACUAGGUGAUAUAUCAAUGACUAGGCACACUUUAAGAACUAUGCAUGGAUCCAACAAGCCAAGCAGCACCAACGGAAAUUUUUUUUGACGAGUUCAUGUCAGUACCUGGUCAUCCUUGAGAUAGAGGGUCAUCUUAGUACCCCUACCAAGCUGCUCCCCAGAUGUGUCACGUGUGACAGUGAAUGACCCACCAGCCUGAGACUCCCACACGUACUGCUCGUCAUCGUUGUGCUUGGUGGUGACAACUACCCUCUCGGCAACAAGGUAGGCAGAGUAAAAUCCAACACCGAACUGACCAAUCAUGGACACAUCAGCACCAGCGGCCAGUGCCUCCAUGAACUCCUUGGUCCCUGACCUGGCGAUGGUACCCAGGUUGUUCACAAGAUCCGACUUGGUCAUACCAAUACCACUGUCGAUAAUUGAGAGAGUAUUGGAGGCCUUGUCAGGGACAAUAUGGAUGAACAGCUCAGGCUGAGCAUCCAGCUUGCUCUUGUCCGUCAAACUCUCAAACCUGAUCUUAUCCAACGCCUGCAGGGCACAUUCAGAUUCAGCGCUCAGUUUUGUAUGAAAGCUGCUGGAAACUCAAAUAUGCAAACCUAUAGAAAUUUAAUAAUGCCAUAAACCCUUCCAAAAGUACAGAUAUAUCAUCAUCCUCUUGCAUUAAGACAAUUUUAGCACCAAAAAUAUUGUUCUAAAGUAUUGCAAGAUGCUAGGAAUAAUUUUAACAACGAAUCAGCAAAACAAAACACUGGCUGCAUGACAAUGGCGGGGGUUUGUUGUCAUAGUAUAUGGUCAAACUCAAUCCCUCCCAUCAAUUUAAGAUUAUAAGAUAAGAUAACAAUUUAGGGUAUGACAACUAGUUGAGCCAGAGUUAAUGGAGUAAGAUAGCUAGUAGAAAAAAAAAUAUUCAGAACCUGGUGGAAGAUUUUUCAGAUGCAACUUUUUUAGAACAAUCACAAACUAUUUAUCCCGCAAGACAUUUAGCAAAACAAAUGACAAGUAAUGCAGUCUACGUUGACAUUCUAGUUUACAACACUCUAGUUAGCGCUCAAAGCAUGGGAGAUUUUUCAAAUGCGACCUUGCAACAAAAUUCAGGAUUGCGAAAUGAUCCACACAUAAUACACUAACAAAACUAACGACCGUGCAUUAUCCACAUAUUAAACACACUAGCAAAAUCAGGAGUGUGCGUGAUCCACGGAUUAACCCCAGGAAGAAAUUAAUGGAACGCAACAUCGCAGUAAUAUGCUAGGAUUGACAUGACAUAUGUGUGACCAGCAACCCAACACACACAAGGUUCUACAUGUCUCCCACAAACCGAUCAACUAAUCCGCCCAAUCGGCUUCACGCGGGCGCUUAGAUCUGGAUCAUCAGUAAACGAAACAAACAACGGGCGCAACCAAAAGAGAGCGAGAACUUACAUCGGAGGAGUUGGAGAUGAGCUCACGGAGGAAGAUCUCCUUGUUGGAGUAGAAGGUGUUGAUGAUGAGCGAGAGCAGCUGGUUGAUCUCCGCCUGGAAGGCGAACGUCUCCGUCUCCGAGGCCAUCGACGACGACGGCGAAUCAGCGGCGGCCGAAGACGAGGAGGGGAGCUGGAGAAGGCGGCUAGGGUUAGGGCUUUAGGGGAGCUCGCGUGCGGAGAGGACGAGAGGAAUGGGAGCCGGUGAUUUAUAUCGGGGAGAUGGGGUUCUCGAACGUUCUACCAGGGGCUCGAAGCGGGGGAGGUGGGAGCGCAUGGGAGACUUGAUGAGUCGUCGGGCCCACAGGUCAGUCAGUUGGUUCGGCCCUAUUUUCUGUUUUGGAAGGUUCUGGAUGCUCGGGUUUGCAGGUUAUUUGGACAAAGUUUGAAAUAGUCAACGUAACCGAUCAGAUUUGCAAGUAGGUUCUAGAAGCAGGAAGUAGUCUUAAGGUCCGACUCCAUCAUGCGAAACUGACGAUGAGCGUAAACAAGGGGAGUAUUUAGUUGGUCAAUAGAGAUUUUUUAAUGUUACGUCAGAUGUUUAAUCGAAUGUUAGAAGAUGGUUUUAGACACGAAUGAAAAAGCGAAUUGCAUUGCCUGAACACCGCGAGAUAAAUCUUUUGAGCCUAAUUAAUUCAUUAUUACCAUAUGGCGUUAUGGCGUUACUAUAGCAUUUAUGUCUAAUUAUAUACUAUUUAGGCUUAAAAGAUUCGUCUUAUGAUUUUCUUUAAUUGUACAAUUAGUUUUUUUGUCAUUUAUGGUUAAUGCUCUAUUUAUAUGUCUAAAAAUUUGAUGUGAUGUUUCGGAGAAAAAAUUAGAAACUAAACCGGCCCUAAACUGCGUGAAGUCGAAUUACUAAGGAAAUUAGCCAAACAUUUUUUUACGUUCAUCUCAAAAAUACUUUUGCUAAGAAAUUAAGAUUGGUGUGAGAAAUGACCGUGGUUGAUGAUUGAGAUAAGAGAUAAUGUAAAAAAUUUGAAUAGAAGAGCAUUAUGAUCAAUUGAGGUAGAAUGGUAGAAUUGUAUAACAAAUCUGAAUACUAGAGCACGGCAUAACAGCUCUAUUUCAAUAACUAAUACGGCUUACAAUUGAAUGGACCAAAAAGAAAUUUAGUGAGAUGGAACACGACACGAAGAGACUAGACAGAAAAACAUAGUACAAGUCCAAAAUGUUCAGGACAUGUUUAGUUCCAAAAUUUUUUUCUAAAAAUAUCACAUUAAAUCUUUGAACACUUAAAUGAAUCAUUAAAUAUAUAUGAACAUUAAAAAUAUUUACACAGCUAUGGGGAAAAUCGUGAGACAAAUCUUUGAGCAUAAUUAGGACGUGAUUAGCUAUAAGUGCUACAGUAACCAACAUGUGUUAAUGACGGAUUAAUUAGACUCAAAAGAUUCGUCUCGCGGUUUCCAGGUGGAAUCUAAAAUUUAUUUUGUAAUUAGAUUACGUUUAAUAAUUUAAAUAUGUGUCAAAAACUUGAUGUGAUUUUUUUGCAAAAUUUUUUUGCAAUCUAAACAAGUCCUCGUAAUUCUGAGCAAACUAUCGUCAGUUGUCACACAUAUCGGAUCAAUGCAACAACACGCGGGAACACAUGCAACCUCGAGACCAGAAUGCAGGUGUGGUAUAUCAAUUCAAUCCAUGAACAAAACCUCGAUUUUAUAUACUGGAGUACUAUUAGUAUCUGCUUAUUUUGAUCCAUAUUAUACGAUUUUCUUGGUUUGUCUAAAUUAAUCUAUAUAUAUAUCAAUAUAUAUUUUUUGUAUUUUGAUCCAUAUUAUACGAUUUUUUUGGUUUGUCUAAAUUAAUCUAUAUUAUAUCAAUAUAUAUGUUUUGUAUUUGUGUCAAACUCAUUACUUAAAAAGUAUUAUAACUUGAAACGGAGAAAAUACUCAUGAUCGUGAACAUGCAGCAAUUACACAAACGCAAAAGAAAAAAAAAAUGGCAGGAGAAUUAUGCUUUGCUUCACUGUUUGGCAAGGCUACGGGGAAUCAGUCCCGGAGUCCCCAGGGGACCAGGCUGAAAGGGCUAACCGCAAGAAACGAGGACACAGAAGACAAAAAGAUGCCAAGCUUGUUCUGAGAGGAAUUAUGCUUUACAGAAUGGUGUUUUUUGGCUGUAUUUUGUUAGGCCUUGUUUAGAUUGUAAAAUAUUUUUGUAAAAACAUAUCAGAUAUACGGACAUAUAUUUAAAGUAUUAAACGUAAUCUAAUUAUAAAAUAAAUUACAAAUUCUGUCAAGAAACUGCGAGACGAAACUUUUGAGCUAAUUAAUUCGUCAUUAGCACAAUUAGGUUACUGUAGCACUUAUGACUAAUCACGUAGUAAUUAGGCUCAAAUAAUUUGUCUCACGAUUUCUCCUAUAACUGUGUAAUUAGUUUUAAUGUUCAUGUAUAUUUAAUAUUUCAUCGGGUAUUAAAAAUUCAAUAUGAUGUUUUAGGGAAUACUUUCUAGGACUAAACAGCACCAUAUAGAUAUGCUAGUGCUUUUGGUGUCGCCUUGUCGGUCAUCCCAGACGUUGACCUAGUAGUGGUGAAACUGUUGUUUAACUCCUCCAAAAUGAAGCUGGUCACUUCUCCUCUCUCCUGUCAAUUGUCUGUAUGGUCUAUGGCUCUCCAGGUCUCAUUGGCCAUUCAUCUGCUUUGCAUUCAGAUUAAGUCGAUCCAAACGAAAUGGUUAAACACUUAAGCUAUGGAUAAACUCAGGUGAAAAAUGCAAUAUGUGAACGUACUAGUAUCUUGAUCAUCAUACAGAGUUACCACUUUGAGAAGUGAAACAUGGGGUAAGGUAGUGUCUGUCCAAUGUGGCGAAGGAGGGAGAACUAAAAGAUUAAUUAAGAAAACAUGUGUUUUAACAAUAAGUGAUCACAAACAAUUGAGAAAUUUAUGUUUUAAUGAUACACACCAUAUAUUUCAUAUUGGAAGACUUUUCAAUUAUAUCUAAAUUCAUCUAUUGACUAAUAUAUAUUGUUCGUAUAUAUGUAUAGAUUCAUUAGUAUUUAUAUGGAUCUAUAUGAAGUUAUAUUUUAUUACGUCAUAAAAUGAAGGUAGUAGACAUAACUUUAUGUUGCCCAAAGUUGAGAGUAUGGACUCUAGAGUUGUUCUUUUAAUCAUAUUAUUUCUCGGUUCGUACGCGUAUGUUUCUCGAAGUAAUAAAUGAUUUGUAAUUUUUACAAAAGUAAUGUAUAUAGAGAGUUCAUUAUUUCAUCUUUGCUAAGUAGAUUUUUAAUUUUAUAGCAGUUAAUUUUAUCAUUUAUACUAUUAAAUAGCUAUUAAAAACUAGAAAAUCUUUUAUCAACGGAAAGAACACAUCAAAGAUAGCGGCGGCAGACAAUUUUUUGAUACUGUCGUUGUCAGGAAGAUAAAGGAUGAUACUACGGUAACAAUUCUUCGUUACUAGUAUACCUUCUCUGGAUCUCUCAGUUUCAGUUUGGAUCGGUUUGCAUGCAAGUAAUUAAUUCUCUUCUAAUUAGACUUUUAGGGCUCAUGAGUGUCAUUACAUUUCUCUUCUAUGGACCGUUGCGUUUGAUCGUACCAAAUGAUCGUAUGCAUAGCAUUUUCCAAUAUCUGAAAUUGUGUUACGGUCCUUAGCAAUAGGAGUGGUGAGUGUUUAUUAAUGCUUAUAAACCAUGGGGAAUGGCAUUAGAUAAUCAUUAGCUCAUGGUAGUAAAAUAGUGCUAGCUCAGUCGGACGGAGUCAAGGAAAAAAAAUAUUUAACACAGGCCCAAGUAAGCUGAAGUUGCAAGCUAAGCUAUAUGCCAAACCAGGCCCUAAUGUAGAAGAUUAAUUAUAUCAGCAUUCUGAGAUAACUAAAGUUCAUCGAACCUUUCCGGACGUCACUGCACACAGGUUUGCAUGUAGACAGAAAGCUUGUCCCGACUCAGACUCGUUUUAUUUUUCUAACAAAAGAGAUAACGAACGAGGCAGCUAAGCUGGCUCGUGAGUCUUAACAAGUUGAACAAAGACACAGUUCACCAUAAUUUGUUGGCUAGAACAAAAGACACAAGAUUACAGUAAUUCACCAUAAUUUGUUGGUUCAAACCUUAAUACAUAAAUACAAUUUCAUAUGCAUUGCAGGUUUAAAAUAAAAAUUUUCUUGUUUAACCUAUAAAAAUUUAUUUAGGUUAACAUAAAUGCUCACGAGCCAGCUCGAGCUUUAUAACGAGUCAAACCGAUAGGUUUUUAAUUCGUUACAAUAACGAGCCAAAUCUAACUCGUUACAAUAACGAGCCAAACCAAGCAACAAGUUAGACCGAGCCAAGCCAAACCGGCUUGUUGUCCGGCCUUAUUUACAUGUAACACAAUCCUACUUGGGAAUUGCAAUAAGCCAGUUCGAGAAAAAGAACUGAGGCAGAAAAAUCUCUGCAUGCAGAGAAAUAAUGGCAAGAUGAAAUUAGGACGGUACUAAUGUAAUAUCAUAGGAGCAACAAUUAACGUACGCAGUUCAAGAACCCAUUGCACAUACUUGGAUCCAUGCAUUACAGGCUAGGUAAAGUUAAUCGCACAAAAAUAAACCGACCAACAAGGCGAGGUUCAAAACACUCUGACCAGAUAAGCUAUCUCCAUGGAACUUUCGCUGCGAGGGAAUUGACGAGAAAGAAAAAACGGGCGCUUAGUCGACCUCCUCCAUCUUGCUCUCGCCGGCGUCGUCCUCGAGAGGUGGCAUGUCGGUGUCCGCCUCCGCCGUCUCUUCCUCAUCGAUGCUCAGGCCAAGCUUGAGCAUGCGGUGGAUCCUGCUGCCGAAGGUAUUGGGGUCGUCGAGGCUGAAGCCGGAGGUGAGGAGGGCCGUCUCGAAGAGGAGCAUGACGAGGUCCUUGACGGACUUGUCGUUCUUGUCGGCAUCGGCGCGCUUGCGGAGUUCCUCCAUGAUGGCGUUCUCCGGGUUGAUCUCCAUUGUCUUCUUGCUAGACAUGUACCCUGCCAUGCUCGAGUCCCUCAGCGCCUGG